GUCGCUCUUACCGAUGGAUUAUACUAUGAAUCUAUAGGACUGCCAAAGUUUGCUCUUCGAGGGGCGCUUAGUGGAAAUAUAUAUGAAUAGUGUGAUCUAAAGGAAAGAG
rnacentral:rRNA from 1 species